GAUGAAGAACGUAGCGAAAUGCGAUAAGUAAUGUGAAUUGCAGAAUUCAGUGAAUCAUCGAAUCUUUGAACGCUCAUUGCGCCAGCUAGUAAUCUGGCGGGCAUGCCUGUUCGAGCGUCAUUUCAACCAUCAAGCCCUGUUUAGGCUUGUGUUGGGGCCCUGCGGUUGCCGCAGCCCCCUAAAUGCAGUGGCGGGCUCGUUGUCACUCCGAGCGCAGUAGCGUAUCACGCUCUGGGCGUGGCGGCGGGUGCUAGCCGUGAAACACCCACUAAGGUUGACCUCGGAUCAGGUAGGAAUACCCGCUGAACUUAAGCAUAUCAAUAAGCGGAGGA
rnacentral:misc_RNA from 1 species